CCUACGGGAGGCAGCAGUGAGGAAUAUUGGUCAAUGGACGAGAGUCUGAACCAGCCAAGUAGCGUGAAGGAUGACUGCCCUAUGGGUUGUAAACUUCUUUUAUAUGGGAAUAAAAUGUUCCACGUGUGGGCUUUUGUAUGUACCAUAUGAAUAAGGAUCGGCUAACUCCGUGCCAGCAGCCGCGGUAAUACGGAGGAGCCGAGCGUUAUCCGGAUUUAUUGGGUGUAAAGGGAGCGUAGGUGGAUUGUUAAGUCAGUUGUGAAAGUUUGCGGCUCAACCGGAAAAUUGCAGUUGAAACUGGCAGGCUUGAGUACAGUAGAGGGGGGCGGAAUGCGUGGUGUAGCGGUGAAAUGCUUAGAUAUCACGAAGAACUCCGAUGGCGAAGGCAGCUCACUGGACUGCAACUGACACUGAGGCUCGAAAGUGUGGGUAUCAAACAGGAUUAGAUACCCGAGUAGUC
rnacentral:rRNA from 1 species